rfam:Ornithorhynchus anatinus chromosome X1, whole genome shotgun sequence.
CCCCUAUCAGGGUCACACCUGGAGAGUUUCCAGUACUCUACCAGUCCUGACUAUGGGAGGAAGAGUCAAGCAGAGGCCUAUCCAUUCCAUUCCUAGCUUGAGCAGUGGCUAGAAGUGGAAGGCAAUCUGCUACAAGU